rnacentral:rRNA from 1 species
CCUACGGGAGGCUGCAGUGGGGAAUAUUGGACAAUGGGCGAAAGCCUGAUCCAGCCAUGCCGCGUGUGUGAAGAAGGCCUUCGGGUUGUAAAGCACUUUCAGUGGGGAAGAAAGCCUUGGGGCUAAUACCCUCGAGGAAGGACAUCACCCACAGAAGAAGCACCGGCUAACUCCGUGCCAGCAGCCGCGGUAAUACGGAGGGUGCGAGCGUUAAUCGGAAUUACUGGGCGUAAAGCGCGCGUAGGCGGUCUGAUAAGCCGGUUGUGAAAGCCCCGGGCUCAACCUGGGAACGGCAUCCGGAACUGUCAGGCUAGAGUGCAGGAGAGGAAGGUAGAAUUCCCGGUGUAGCGGUGAAAUGCGUAGAGAUCGGGAGGAAUACCAGUGGCGAAGGCGGCCUUCUGGACUGACACUGACGCUGAGGUGCGAAAGCGUGGGUAGCAAACAGGAUUAGAUACCCGUGUAGUCC